AAUCAACGCUGGCGGCGUGCCUAACACAUGCAAGUCGCACGAGAAAGGGGAGCAAUCCCUGAGUAAAGUAGGCGCACGGGUGAGUAACACGUGAAUCAUCUACCUCCGAGUGGGGAAGUAACUGAGAGAAAUCUUAGCUAAUACCGCAUAACACUUACGAGUCAAAGACAGCAAUGCGCUUGGAGAGGAGUUCGCGGCCGAUUAGUUAGUUGGC
rnacentral:rRNA from 1 species